AGAGUUCAAGAGUACGUGAAACCGUUCAGGGGUAAGCGGGAGAAAUCCUGAAUUCGAAGGUGUGGAUUCAUUUCCUCCCGGUGUUCAGGCUGCCCCUGCCAGAUGGUGCUGGUCGCCCGCGGCGAUUCAUCUCGCUCGUGGUGUCGUUCCGGCCAUCACUCGGUGGGUCGGCAUCGCUCUGUCUCCGGAGGAGUGCACUUCCACCCGAGUAGAAACGUCGCGACCCGUUGGGUGCCGGUCAAAGGCCCGGGAAGGCAGACCACGUGUCCUGUUUUGGUACAGGCAUGCGGACUCCUGGUGACCCGGCCGGCUGCCCGACGGUAUGACCAGAGGGGUCGAUCCGCUGAAUGUGAAUCACUAUGGUUGUGAAGCGUCCGGCCCGGCGCCGACACGUGCGGGGAUGUGGUGCAAACCGGGGGUGUCCGUGCGACGCACGGCCCCGGCCCCGCUGCGUGUUCGGUUCCGUCGGUGUCCUCGGACUGGAUCAGUACUCCCGUCUGCGGCGUCAUCUUCGGAUGGUCUCCCGAC
rnacentral:rRNA from 1 species